rnacentral:rRNA from 1 species
CAGUCGCCACGGGAAUACGUAGGGCGCAAGCGUUAAUCGGAAUUACUGGGCGUAAAGCGUGCGCAGGCGGUUAUAUAAGUCAGAUGUGAAAUCCCCGGGCUCAACCUGGGAACUGCAUUUGAGACUGGCAAGCUAGAGUAUGGCAGAGGGGGGUGGAAUUCCACGUGUAGCAGUGAAAUGCGUAGAGAUGUGGAGGAACACCGAUGGCGAAGGCAGCCCCCUGGGCCAAUACUGACGAUCAUGCACGAAAGCGUGGGGAGCAAACAGGAUUAGAUACCCCGGUAGUCCCUGUCUCUUAUAC